rnacentral:rRNA from 1 species
AGAGUUUGAUCAUGGCUCAGAUUGAACGCUGGCGGCAGGCCUAACACAUGCAAGUCGAACGGUAACAGGAAGCAGCUUGCUGCUUCGCUGACGAGUGGCGGACGGGUGAGUAAUGUCUGGGAAACUGCCUGAUGGAGGGGGAUAACUACUGGAAACGGUGGCUAAUACCGCAUAACGUCGCAAGACCAAAGAGGGGGACCUUCGGGCCUCUUGCCAUCAGAUGUGCCCAGAUGGGAUUAGCUAGUUGGUGAGGUAACGGCUCACCAAGGCGACGAUCCCUAGCUGGUCUGAGAGGAUGACCAGCCACACUGGAACUGAGACACGGUCCAGACUCCUACGGGAGGCAGCAGUGGGGAAUAUUGCACAAUGGGCGCAAGCCUGAUGCAGCCAUGCCGCGUGUAUGAAGAAGGCCUUCGGGUUGUAAAGUACUUUCAGCGGGGAGGAAGGUGUUGUGGUUAAUAACCGCAGCAAUUGACGUUACCCGCAGAAGAAGCACCGGCUAACUCCGUGCCAGCAGCCGCGGUAAUACGGAGGGUGCAAGCGUUAAUCGGAAUUACUGGGCGUAAAGCGCACGCAGGCGGUCUGUCAAGUCGGAUGUGAAAUCCCCGGGCUCAACCUGGGAACUGCAUUCGAAACUGGCAGGCUUGAGUCUUGUAGAGGGGGGUAGAAUUCCAGGUGUAGCGGUGAAAUGCGUAGAGAUCUGGAGGAAUACCGGUGGCGAAGGCGGCCCCCUGGACAAAGACUGACGCUCAGGUGCGAAAGCGUGGGGAGCAAACAGGAUUAGAUACCCUGGUAGUCCACGCCGUAAACGAUGUCUACUUGGAGGUUGUGCCCUUGAGGCGUGGCUUCCGGAGCUAACGCGUUAAGUAGACCGCCUGGGGAGUACGGCCGCAAGGUUAAAACUCAAAUGAAUUGACGGGGGCCCGCACAAGCGGUGGAGCAUGUGGUUUAAUUCGAUGCAACGCGAAGAACCUUACCUGGUCUUGACAUCCACAGAACUUUCCAGAGAUGGAUUGGUGCCUUCGGGAACUGUGAGACAGGUGCUGCAUGGCUGUCGUCAGCUCGUGUUGUGAAAUGUUGGGUUAAGUCCCGCAACGAGCGCAACCCUUAUCCUUUGUUGCCAGCGGUUAGGCCGGGAACUCAAAGGAGACUGCCAGUGAUAAACUGGAGGAAGGUGGGGAUGACGUCAAGUCAUCAUGGCCCUUACGACCAGGGCUACACACGUGCUACAAUGGCGCAUACAAAGAGAAGCGACCUCGCGAGAGCAAGCGGACCUCAUAAAGUGCGUCGUAGUCCGGAUUGGAGUCUGCAACUCGACUCCAUGAAGUCGGAAUCGCUAGUAAUCGUGGAUCAGAAUGCCACGGUGAAUACGUUCCCGGGCCUUGUACACACCGCCCGUCACACCAUGGGAGUGGGUUGCAAAAGAAGUAGGUAGCUUAACCUUCGGGAGGGCGCUUACCACUUUGUGAUUCAUGACUGGGGUGAAGUCGUAACAAGGUAACCGUAGGGAACCUGCGGUUG